GCGGUACUCUGACCGUGCAAAGGUAGCAUAAUCAUUUGCCUUAUAAUUGAAGGCUGGUAUGAAUGGUUUGACAAGAAUAUAGCUGUCUCUUUAUAAUUUGCUAGAAUUUUAUUUGUAAGUGAAGAAGCUUACAUAAAAUUGAAGGACAAGAAGACCCUAUCGAGCUUUAAAAAAACUAACGGAUUAAGAAAUUAUUUAUAAAAAACAAUCCACUAGACAUUUUAGUUGGGGCGACUGAGGAACAAAAAAAGCUUCCUUUAAGGUAUUAGAUAAACACACGAGUAUUGAUCCAGAAAUUUUGAUUAAAGGAAAUAGUUACCGUAGGGAUAACAGCAUAAUCUUUUUUAAGAGCCCAUAUCGAAAAAAAGGUUUGUGACCUCGAUGUUGGACCAGAAUAUCCUGAAGAUGUAGCAGUCUUUAAGGGUUGGUCUGUUCGACCAUUAAAAUUCUACGUGAGCA
rnacentral:rRNA from 1 species